rnacentral:rRNA from 1 species
UACGUAGGGGGCUAGCGUUGUCCGGAUUUAUUGGGCGUAAAGAGCGUGUAGGCGGCCAUGUAGGUCCGGUGUGAAAACUCGAGGCUUAACCUCGAGAUGUCAUCGGAAACCAUUUGGCUAGAGUCCGGAAGAGGAGAGUGGAAUUCCUGGUGUAGCGGUGAAAUGCGCAGAUAUCUGGAGGAACACCGGUGGCGAAGGCGGCAUCCUGGACCAACACUGACGCUGAGUGAGCGAAAGCCAGGGGAGCAAACAGG